CUCUAGUAACUUGGAGGCAUGCCUGUCUGAGCGUCAUUUAAAACCAUAAACUCAACUGGGUUUGUAUUGGGCAUCGCCUCUGGGCGUAGCCUCAAAGUCAUCGGUCUUACACACGGACGAGUUCCAUUAGGACAGACCGUGUCUGGACUUUAAAUCUCUGACUUGACCUCAGAUCAGGUAGGACUACCGCCUGAACUUAA
rnacentral:misc_RNA from 1 species